rnacentral:rRNA from 1 species
UACGAAGGGGGCUAGCGUUGUUCGGAAUUACUGGGCGUAAAGCGUGCGCAGGCGGCUCAUCAAGUCAGAGGUGAAAGCCCAGGGCUCAACCCUGGAACUGCCUUUGAAACUGUUGGGCUUGAGUACGGGAGAGGUGAGUGGAAUUCCGAGUGUAGAGGUGAAAUUCGUAGAUAUUCGGAAGAACACCAGUGGCGAAGGCGACUCGCUGGACAAGUAUUGACGCUGAGGUGCGAAAGCGUGGGGAGCAAACAGG